CUGGGCUAUGGCGGAUUGCUCUGGCGCCUGGAGCAACCUUGUUUCUGGCCUCGAUCUGCCAGACGAAGGAGCACAUAGAGGUCAGAAUCUCUACCCGGCUUGGCAGCAGUCGAUGAUCCAGCGGCAUGAGGUGAGAUUGGGAGGUGAAGGAGGGGCGAUGGGAGGAAAUUCUUGUGGCGGAGCGGGAUGCCCCAGGAGAAGUAAGCUCUUGCCGUGGCGAUGACAAAGAGGAAGCGUGACGAGCUUUUGAAGACCAAGAGCGUGGCGUUCGGGGCUCCAGUUCUAAGGAUAAUUGGAGCACCACAGCCGAAAACGAUGGUGGCAGAG
rnacentral:lncRNA from 1 species